rnacentral:rRNA from 1 species
AUUGAACGCUGGCGGCAGGCUUAACACAUGCAAGUCGAGCGAGCGGCGGACGGGUGAGUAAUGUAUGGGGACUGCCCCAUAUAGGGGGAUAACUCCUGGAAAAGGUAGCUAAUAACGCAUACUAUCGGAUAACCCAUAUGGGAUUAGCUAGUUGGUGAGGUAAUGGCUCACCACGGCGACGAUCCCUAGCUGGUCUGAGAGGAUGAUCAGCCACACUGGGACUUAGACACGGCCCAGACUCCUACGGAGGCAGCAGUGGGGAAUAUUGCACAAUGGGGGCAAGCCUGAUGCAGCCAUGCCGCGUGUAUGAAGAAGGCCCUAGGGUUGUAAAGUACUUUCAGUCGGGAGGCGUUACCGACAGAAGAAGCACCGGCUAACUCCGUGCAAGCAGCCGCGGUAAUUC